GACGUAGGGCGCGAGCGUUGUCCGGAUUUAUUGGGCGUAAAGAGCUCGUAGGCGGCUUGUCGCGUCGAAUGUGAAAUCUCAGGGCUCAACUCUGACAUUGCAUUCGAUACGGGCAGGCUAGAGUUCGGUAGGGGAGACUGGAAUUCCUGGUUUAGCGGUGAAAUGCGCAGAUAUCAGGAGGAACACCGGUGGCGAAGGCGGGUCUCUGGGCCGAUACUGACGCUGAGGAGCGAAAGCGUGGGGAGCGAACAGG
rnacentral:rRNA from 1 species